rnacentral:rRNA from 1 species
UACGUAGGGGGCAAGCGUUGUCCGGAAUUAUUGGGCGUAAAGAGCUCGUAGGCGGCUAAGUAAGUCAGGUGUGAAACCUCCAGGCUCAACCUGGAGACGCCACUUGAUACUGCUUUGGCUUGAGUUCGGUAGGGGUAAGCGGAAUUCCUGGUGUAGCGGUGAAAUGCGCAGAUAUCAGGAGGAACACCGAUGGCGAAGGCAGCUUACUGGGCCGAUACUGACGCUGAGGAGCGAAAGCGUGGGGAGCGAACAGG